GAUGCUCCAAAAUUCAGCAGCGGUCACAAUCAGGUCUUGCUCGGUUUUAUAGUUUCAUUGUCAUGUUCUGUUUAGUUUCUGUGUCAUGGUUUUAAUUGUCUCUGUUCUCAUUCAUUUGUUACCACAUUUUCUCGUUAGUUACACAUCUGUUAAUUACCUCUUUCGGUGUAUUAAAGCCCUCUCUCUACUCAGAUCAAUGUUUUGCAUUAAUGUCACUGUUUAAGGUGUAUGUAUAGUUUUGCUUUGUCUUUUCAUUAAAGUCUUCAUGGAUCUCAAUCAUUCUGUGUCACGCUCUCUGCUUUGGAUUAAUCUACAAGCUGUUACGUGACAAUGGCGUUCCAAGAGUGAUGAUAAAUACUGUAACAGCACUCUUUAUGUCACUUCUCUUGUCUGUGUUUGUGAGCGGUGUGGAACCAGAAUGAAAUAGUAAUGCACCGAAAUUAAAAUUCUGGUUGGUACCAAGGAGCUCAUAAUUAUGAUGUAUAAUAAAACACUAAAAACUAAAACUUGUCUAUUUAAAUUUAAAUAUAGGUAUCACAAUAUUAGAAUGUGCAGUAUGAAAAUUGGUUAUUCAUUUUCUAAAGAUUACAUUUCACAGUGUUUUAAAGAUUCACUUUAAGUGAGCUAAAUGAUGGCCAAGGUGAUCUAAAUGUUAAAAUAGGGAAAAUGUGCAGCACAAUUACAUACUGAGCAGACAUAUAGUUUAUACAGAAUAUAUACAAUAUCAACCAAUAUUGAAUGGAUAUGGUAAUUUAUGGCAAAAUUCAUAAAUUCGACUUCAAACAACUGAAUCAAUAUGUGUCCAACUGUCCUGCUGCUUUACUGCAGUGAAUUCCACUGUAAAAAAUAAAAUAAAAAAUCCACUGUAAAAGGACUGCGCAAAAUGAAAGUCUCUAGUGCUUUAACGACCCAAUUAAUCUACUAAAUAUAGUGCAGAAUAUAAUGUAUAUUGGGGCAAAUAUUUACUGAUUACAUAGUGUACUGAUUCAGUGACAUUGUGAUAACUAUAGUGUUUAACACAAUUCUGUAUUUUCAGCAAAGCAUAAUUAUAAGCAUCUCCAUGCUAAUUUUGACUGCAAAAUGACACAAAGAUGCUGACAAUGUUUUAUAAAAGCAAAUUCAGAAAUUUGAAGCCACAAAAAUCACACACACACAGACACACACAAAAAAAAGUCACAAAAAAAG
ensembl:lncRNA